AUUCAGCUAAAGAGUCCCGAAUAAGACGAAACCUAUGUCCUGAAU
rfam:Schistosoma haematobium scaffold695_22, whole genome shotgun sequence.